rnacentral:rRNA from 1 species
GGCCUACGGGGGGCAGCAGUGGGGAAUAUUGGGCAAUGGGCGCAAGCCUGACCCAGCAACGCCGCGUGAAGGAAGAAGGCUUUCGGGUUGUAAACUUCUUUUCUGAGGGACGAUAGUGACGGUACCUCAGGAAUAAGCCACGGCUAACUACGUGCCAGCAGCCGCGGUAAUACGUAGGUGGCAAGCGUUAUCCGGAUUUACUGGGUGUAAAGGGCGUGUAGGCGGGGACGCAAGUCAGAUGUGAAAACCACGGGCUCAACCUGUGGCCGGCAUUUGAAACUGCGUUUCUUGAGUACU